UGGGGAAUAUUGCACAAUGGGCGCAAGCCUGAUGCAGCAACGCCGCGUGAGGGACGACGGCCUUCGGGUUGUAAACCUCUUUUGGCAGGGAAGAAGCGAAAGUGACGGUACCUGCAGAAAAAGCACCGGCUAACUACGUGCCAGCAGCCGCGGUGAUACGUAGGGUGCAAGCGUUGUCCGGAAUUAUUGGGCGUAAAGAGCUCGUAGGCGGUUUGUCGCGUCUGCUGUGAAAACCCGAGGCUCAACCUCGGGCCUGCAGUGGGUACGGGCAAACUAGAGUGCGGUAGGGGAGAGUGGAAUUCCUGGUGUAGCGGUGGAAUGCGCAGAUAUCAGGAGGAACACCGAUGGCGAAGGCAGAACUCUGGGCCGUAACUGACGCUGAGGAGCGAAAGCAUGGGGAGCGAAC
rnacentral:rRNA from 1 species